CAGAUCCUAAUACCGAGAGCAGGAUCCCAUUGCUUAUGAGCUUAGAUAUAUAUGUGCCAAGGGACGAGCGAUUUGGACAUGUGAAGAUGUCAGACUUCUUGACAUUUGCUUUGAAAUCCAUUUCUCAGCUGCUCCUCCCUGAGUUUAAGGCUUUAUUCGAUAGCACGCCUAAUGAAUUUGAUAGUUUUGCGGAUGUACUUAAAAUCUAUGAAGGAGGAAUCAAGUUGCCUCAAGGGACUUCGUUUAAAGCCAUUGUUGAUGCUAUUCCUUUGGAGAUACUAAAACAACUCCUUUCUACUGAUGGUGAAGGCCUACUCAAGUACCCGACACCUCAAGUUAUCCAAGGUAUUUAUCUGAAUUUCUGCAUGAUCAAAAUCACAUUUCACAUAGUAUUAUUUUUAAUCGCUCUCAACUUUUGGUAAUCCAAAUAUUAUACGUUGGUGUACGUAGAGGAUAAAUCUGCCUGGAGGACGGAUGAAGAAUUCGGAAGAGAAAUGCUAGCGGGAGUCAAUCCUGUCAUAAUUAGUAGACUCCAAGUAAGAAGAUAUUAGUAGCUACCUUAAGUUUACUUCUAUUUUUCGUGCAUUUUGAAGAUGUUGGCUUAUUUAUUAUAUGUAGGAAUUCCCUCCAAAAAGCAAGCUGGAUCCUAAAAUAUAUGGCAACCAAACUAGUACAAUUACCAGGGAGCAAAUAGAGGAUAAGUUGGAUGGACUAACAGUUGAUGAGGUAAUUACUACUUUAUGUUGAUACUAGCUAAAUUGUUCAAUCAACUUUAAUGAGUAGAUUGUAGUGACAAAUAUUAGUUGAUAAAGAGUUGGUACUACUAUUUAACAGGCAAUCAAGACUAACAGGCUAUUCAUAUUGAACCAUCAUGACAUCCUGAUGCCGUAUGUGAGGAGAAUAAACACGACAACAAACACAAAAAUGUAUGCCUCAAGAACUCUGCUCUUUCUGCAAGAUGAUGGAACUUUGAAGCCACUAGCAAUUGAACUAAGUUUGCCACAUCCAGAUGGAGAUCAAUUUGGCGCUGUUAGCAAAGUGUUUACACCAUCUGAUCAAGGUGUUGAGGGUUCUAUUUGGCAGUUGGCCAAAGCCUAUGCAGCAGUGAAUGAUUCAGGCGUGCAUCAGCUCGUCAGUCACUGGUAAAAACUUGUCCGAAAAUUAGCUGCAUAACUCCAAUGUGUUGUCAAAUUUUAGUAAUCUAAAGCACUUUGUUUAUAUCUUGUCAGGUUAAACACACACACAGUGAUCGAGCCAUUUGUGAUUGCAACAAAUAGGCAACUAAGUGUGGUUCACCCUAUUCAUAAGCUUCUCCUUCCUCAUUUUCGUGAAACGAUGAACAUAAAUGCUUUAGCAAGACAAAUCCUAAUCAAUGGUGGCGGACUUCUUGAAUUUACCGUCUUCCCUGCCAAAUAUUCCAUGGAACUGUCAUCAGUAAUUUACAAAGACUGGAUUUUUCCGGAACAAGCACUUCCUGCUGAUCUCAUCAAAAGGUAAAUGAAAAGCCACAACGCACGUAAAAACUUAGUACUAAAACAAUAUCUUUUGCGUUGUUUUCUUACUAACCUGACCAUAAUGUUACUCAAAAUCAGGGGAGUGGCUGUUGAGGACUCAAGCUCCCCACAUGGCGUUCGCUUACUGAUUCAGGACUAUCCAUAUGCUGUUGAUGGGUUGGAAAUUUGGUCAGCAAUCAAAAGUUGGGUAACAGAAUAUUGCAACUACUAUUACAAAUCAGAUGACGCGGUACAGAAAGACACUGAACUCCAAGCCUGGUGGAAGGAGCUCCGCGAAGAAGGACAUGGCGACAAGAAAGAUGAGCCUUGGUGGCCUAAAAUGCAAACUGUGCAAGAGCUCAUAGAUUCCUGCACCAUCACUAUAUGGAUAGCUUCAGCACUUCAUGCAGCAGUUAAUUUUGGGCAAUACCCUUAUGCUGGUUAUCUCCCUAAUCGCCCUACAUUAAGCCGGAAAUUCAUGCCAGAGCCAGGAAGUGCAGAGUAUGAAGAGCUCAAGACAAAUCCAGACAAUGUAUUCCUCAAAACAAUCACUCCUCAGCUGCAGACAUUGGUUGGAAUUUCCCUCAUAGAGCUCUUGUCAAGGCACUCUUCGGAUACACUUUACCUGGGGCAGAAUGAUUCACCUGAAUGGACAAAGGAUCAAGAGCCACUUUCAGCUUUUGAGAGGUUUGGAAAGAAGUUGAGUGAUAUUGAGGAUCGAAUUAUGCAGAUGAAUGGUGAUCCUGAGAAAUGGAAGAACAGGUCAGGGCCUGUUAAAGUUCCAUAUACAUUGCUCUUUCCCACAAGUGAAGAGGGACUCACAGGCAAAGGAAUUCCCAACAGUGUGUCUAUAUAGAACUUAUUAUUGAAUCCGUUUAUUGUGCUUGUUUCUUCAUAUCAAUUCCCAAUAAUAUCACCAAAUAAACUCUUUGUUCCAAAUAAAAUUCUAGUUACAAGUGGGUGUAAUGUUGUCGGAGUUAUAUGCUAUAUCCAUAAGACUUGCAUUUUUUUUUUCAAAAUUUAAAUCGAAAGUGUCAAAUUGAAACAAAUUGUUUACCAUAUGUUAUUUUAGAUAUCAAUCUCUUGUAUUUUUAAAUGUUAGUCGAAGUUCAUAUCGUUUGACUCUUAAGAUAAACACUAAAAGUUGUUACUAGCUAGCAAAUCGAUAGUACAUCACGCAUCAGAAGGUGAGAUUUAUUCAUUGUUCAUCGUUCAUACAAAAUUUAAUGUUGAUCUAGCUACUUAUAUUCAGACCCAUCAUGAACAUUAAUUGAUACUAUUAUAUUUCCUCUGUCAUACUAUUAGAAAAUAUGAGAAGAGUGAAGACUUUGUGAUAUUUCAAAAUUAUUUUUAAUAUAAAUGAUUUUCAAAAUCAAAUGAUACACUUUUGUGGAUUUUUAUCAAAUAAACAGAAUCAAACAUGAAUAAAAUAUUGAUAAUAUCAUUAUAUAUUACUAUAUAAAAAAUUGUAUCGGAGUAUAUAUAUAAUACUAUACUAUAAUACUCCUAUCUUUGAAAAAAGAUCCCCCUGCAUUUUCCUCUUCUUUAUGAAUGAUGGUCCUUAAAAUAAAAUAAAAUUAAAAAGUAGGUAAGGAUAGAUAUAAAUAUAGCUCAUUUAUCACAUAUAAAUAAAUACUAGACAUCGGAGCCCGUGCUAGCACGGGCCCAAUAUGUAUCAUUUUUUAUUUCAAUUUAUGUGACAAAGACAAAAUUAAAGAGUUAAUCAAACUUUAAUAUUAAUUUAAAAUAGUUUAAAUUUUUAAUUAUUGUUAACUAUGGAAUUUUUUUUUAUGCCUUUUAACAUUCUAAAUUGCUAAUUAUUGUUGUAUGAUUUGUAAUAUCUUUUACGCAAUUUUGAAAUAAUAAAGGUUAUUUCUUCUUUCUCAAUUUAUGUGGUACUAAUAAAAUUUCGAGAUUCAAUCAAUUUUUUUUGUCUUUAAAAUAUUCUAUUGUUAAUUACUGUAAAUUAUUGUACUUUCUAAGUAAUUUUCAAAUAAUAUAUAUUAUUUCAUUUGUCCAAUUUAUGUGUCACCGAUAAAAUUUGAAGAGUUAAUCAGAUCUUUUACAUAUUUUUAUAUCUUUUGAAUAUUUAAGUAAAUAAUUAUUGUGAUUUAUAAUAUUUUAUACAAUUAUUUAAAAAAAAUUAAACAACAAACAAAACGAAUUCAUCAUAGGAAAAUUACCAAAGCAUCCUUGAAUACAUCAAUAAUGGGUCCCACUUUUUGUUUAAAAAAAUAUGCAUAUUGGGAGGAUAUUUUUGUCCAAAGUGGAAAUAUUGUGUAUAUUAUUUCAUUUGUCCCAAUUUAUGUGUCACCGGUAAAAUUUGAAGAGUCAAUCAGAUCUUUUAUAUAUUUUUAUAUCUUUUAAAUAUUUAAGUAAUUAAUUAUCGUGAUUUAUAAUAUUUUAUACAAUUAUUUAGUAUAGUAAAAUAAAUUUAAAAGAAACAAACAAAACGAUUCAUCAUAGGAAAUUACCAAAGCAUCCUUCAAUACAUCAAUAAUGGGUCCGACUUUUUGGUUUUAAGAAAUUGCACAUUCGAAGGAUAUUUUUGUCUAAAGUGGAAAUAUUGUGUAAAAAAUGUGUGUUUAUUGUGAUUUUGAAUGUUUUGUGGGGUAAUAGAACGCACGCAAAGUUAAGGUGUCUUUUUGAAAAUCUGGGACAACUUCAAGUAUCACUUAAUGUUUUUUUCUCAAAAAUCUAAUUUAUUUUCGUAAACUAUGUGUCAGAUCAAAAUCAGAUUAACAAAUUCAAAAAGGAAUGAAGUAAUAAAAUAGCUCAUACAAUGACAUAUUUAUUAUUUAAAAGAAAUACCCCUUUUGAUUGAAAGCUAACAAGAUAGUUACAAUGUAACUAAAUACUAUAAAAAUCUUUGCAUUGUAGCAUAUUAUAUAUAUAGAUAUAUAUAUUUAAGUUCAAAUUAUGAUUUCGGUGAUAACUUAGUCAUUUACAUAUAGCCAAUAUAUAUAAACACACUUUAACAUAUUCAUAAAAACAAAUUAUUUUCUUAUUUUACUCCAAACAUUAGUUACUCAUUCAAACUUAUUAUACGAUAAUUUUAAUAUGAUGUCAUGAUAUAUAAUCAUAUGAGUAAGUAAAAUUGAACGGAAAGAGUACAACGUAUCAAAAGGAGCUGACUUACAUACUCCAAGUCCCAACACAUAUUUUUCUGAAUAUAUUUCCUCUCAGAAUAAGUAUUUUAUUUCAGUUUCAAACUUUGUAAGAUGUGUUUGCAUAUGUACCACAUAUACACGUAUAUAAAUUGAUGCAUUUGAAUGUAGAAGCCCAAACAAAAAAAUAAAAAUAAAAAGGAAUUUGACAAAAAAAGAAGACAAAAAUAUUCCAAAAAAUAAUUCAACAGAUUAGAGAAGCAAUUGGAAAAAUUGAAAACGUUGAUAUACAUCAUUAUUCACGUGGUAUAAAUAUUCAAUUACUCCUUCGAUCUCAUUUAAUAUAAAUCACUUUUCUUUUAAAGUUCCGAAUAACAUAAUGUUAUAUUAAAUAACAAUUUAACUUUAAAAUAUCUAUUUUAUUUUUAAUAAAAUGAUGUAUAGCCGCCACAAACAUCAAUCAAUUGUUUUAGAUUACAAAUUUCAAAAAAAAUUUCUUUUCUAAAUUACAUGUAAAAUCAAACGGAAAGUGUACUAGUUUUUGCUAUAAAUAUGAGACUGGAAAAAAACUCUAACCUUCACAUACCAAAAGCUCUCUGUUCUCUUCUAGGUUUAUAUAUAUAGUAAUAUUUCUCGUGAAAUAACUAAUCAUGUUACUGGGCAAGAUUGUGGAUACCAUUACUGGAAAAGAUGAUGGAAAAAAAGUUAAAGGAACAGUAAUUUUGAUGAAGAAAAAUGUUUUGGACUUCACUGAUAUAAAUGCAUCUGUUGUUGAUGGAGUUAUUGAGUUUCUUGGCCGGAACGUUUCUUUUCAGUUGAUCAGUAGUUCUGUUCAUGGUCAUUACUCUUUCUUUUGUUACUCUGCUUCUUUCUUUUUACUCCUUUCAUAAUUUUAUGCUUUCUUUCCCAUUUGCAGCAAAUGAUUCAGAAGCGAAACACAGCAAUCCAGCAUACUUAGAGAACUGGCUUACACACAUUACCCCAAUAAUAGCAGGGGAAUCGGCUUUUAGGGUCACAUUUGAUUGGGAUCUCGAUGAGUUUGGAGUUCCAGGAGCAUUCAUUAUCAAGAAUUUACAUCUUAAUGAGUUCUUCGUCAAGUCACUCACACUUGAUGAUGUUCCUAAUCAUGGAAAAAUCCAUUUUGUCUGCAAUUCUUGGAUUUAUCCUUCUUUUAAAUAUAAGUCAGAUCGCAUUUUCUUUGCGAAUCAGGUACGUUUAAUUCAUUCAUAAUGAAUGUAACAAGACCUUAAUUAUGUACGCAUCUAAACACAUAUCUGCAUUGCUCUUCAGGCUUAUCUCCCAAGUGAAACACCAGAAACAUUGCGAAAGUACAGAGAAAAUGAGCUAGUAACUUUGAGAGGAAAUGGUAAUGGAAAGCUUGAAGAAUGGGACAGGGUUUAUGACUAUGCUUGUUACAAUGACUUAGGUGAACCAGACAAAGGCAAAGAGUAUGCCAGGUCUAUCCUAGGAGGAUCCUCUGAGUACCCGUAUCCUCGUAGAGGCAGGACAGGUCGCAAACCAACAAAAACAGGUUAAAACAUUCACACAACUUUUUAUUUUUGUAACUCAACAAGUAUAAUAAUCUCAAGUUUUACUAUCUGCAUUUUCAUAUUUGAUUUUUAGAAGAACAAAUUGCUCUUUUGUUCUCUGCAGAUCCUAAUUGCGAGAGCAGGAUCCCAUUGCUUAUGAGCUUAGAUAUAUAUGUGCCAAGGGACAAACGAUUUGGUCAUGUGAAGAUGUCAGACUUCUAGACAUUGUGUUUAAAAUCCAUUAUGCAAAUGCUUCUCCCUGCGUUUAAGGCUUUGUUUGAUAACACACCUAAUGAAUUUGAUAGCUUUGCGGAUGUACUUAAACUCUAUGAAGGAGGAAUCAAGUUGCCUCGAGGCCC
rnacentral:lncRNA from 1 species